GGUGGCAAAGGAAAAGAGGAAGGAGAAAUUGGAGCAACAGGAAAGAGUGGAGUUAAAUUUUCUCAGCAAACUUGGUCAUGUCCAAAAGAUUGAGAUUCUGAAUGGCAUUGCUGACAUGAAGAAUGAGCUCAGGUCCUUCAUGUUUCUUUUGUUUUACAGAACAAAGGUAUAUUUCAGCAGUGGGUGGUCCAGGCAUGAGAAGAGAUGGAUUGAGAGUGGCAUUUGAAGGCUAGAAUUUUUGCAAUGAAGUUGGCAAUGAAAUUCCUGAGAUGGGAAGUCCUAGAGCAGCUGACUGUUUUGAUUUCUUAAAUAAUUCUUUGGAGCAUAAAGUAACAGAAGAACAGAACAAACUUGGGGUAGGAAAAUCAUUCCCAGGUUUGAACCCAAAGGCUCUCAACAAUCCAGACCUUAAUGUGAUCAUUUGACAUAGCUGUUCUUAAGGGAAAAUCCCGACACAUUAAUCAGAUAUACUGCAUUUUUACAUACAUGUAUGGGUCAUGCAGUUCAAACUUGGCAAGCUGACAUUUAGUCAAUUCAUUUGCAUAGGAUGUCUUUUAUAUUCAUGAUACAUUGUUACUGGAUUCCAUGUUCAGCAUUUGU